UAUAGUCAUGUCACCCGUUUCCUUUUUCACAUAUCACAUCUUGGAAACUACUUUUCCUACUUUCCUUAAACUCUGUGUUUUCACAUUCCCAUUCAACUUCUUCUCUCUCCUUCUUCCACAACUACAUUUCCCGUCCUUCUACUCUCUCCUUCUCCAUCCUCUUUCUUCGUCUUCUUUCUCCUUCUUCCUCGUAUUUCUCCGGCUUCUCUGUGUGUUUUGUGUCUUACUUUUUUCCAAAAAUGAUAUCUUCUCUCUUCCACUACCUCUGUUUUCCAAUUCUUCUUUCUUCUCUUCCUUUUCUUCAACAAAAACAACCGAGUUGUGGGACGAUUUACAGAUAUAUAGAAAUCAAAGUUUUUCAGGGUUUAUGCUAUUUUGUUUUGACCUAAGAUUAUUGGUGUUGCUGGAAUGGGAAAGAUGACGACGACUAUGACGUUUCCGACGAUUUUACAGUGAUAUGCGAUAUCGUUGUGGUAGAUCUGUGAUGGAUCUUGGUAAAAAAAAGGGACUUGUGGAUCUGGAACAUUGAUUUUUGAAUGUUCUGAAUCAAAUUUGCAAACUUGAGACAUGAAGGUCAAUCAGAUGAUAAUAAAAGGAAGAAAAGUUUAAAGGAGCGGUUAGGGCUUUUUAAUGGUAAUAGGAGCAACUUUCGUAUUCUUGGUGGAAGGAUUUCACUUUGUGAAGUUUGAAACAAGAAAGAUCAACACGUGCUUAGAUUUCAUUCAUUCAAAACAGCUUCACCGUGGUGGUAUAAUAGUAUUGAGCAUUCAAAUAUCAUCUAUUAUUUUGUUGAUUUUGUGUUCAUUUAACCGAAUUCAACAUUGGUAAAAAAAGUUAGCACAUUAAUACAACUUAACUUAUGAAAACUUUAUCACGUUACUCAGAUGCCGCAGCUAAUGAAAAUGCCAUAAUUAAGGUGACUUCGAGUCUUCGUUGUCUUGGCUUAACUAGGAGCUAUGCGCUAAUAUCCACUCUAAUAGUAUCUUUUUCUGUUUGGAUUACAUCAUUUCUUUAAUGGUAAUGCUAACUUGUGCCCUAGGGGCACAAGUUAAGAACCGAAUGAAGAAAUGUUAUCUUGGAAAUUGUGUAUUAAUUUUAAUAAAAAUAUAAAAUUAAUUUUUUAAUUGUUUUUUCCAAUACAAAUUUUCUAUAAGUGGUUUUCUUAACUUGUUCCCCUAGGGCACAAGUUACCAUUACCCUUUCUUCAAAUCAUCAAUUAUAAUUUAUACGAGAUAGCAAAUAUAAAGCUACAACCUUUCGCCGCUUAUCACAUGUGUUAGUAGUUACUAUCAAAAUGAUGUCUGAUUUGCUUUGCCCUCUGGUAUACAAACUAAUAUUGAUGAUUUUUCUAUUUAUUUUAUUUGUUGUUAUUGUUAGUAUUAUUUGUAAUUUUAGCAUUAUCUGUUUUGGAAGCGGUCAAAUUGGACAUUUUUUUUAUCCCUUUUCUACUUGUCUUCUGCUUUGAUGGCUAUGAAAUACUAGACUAAUGCAUUCAUUUUGUGACAAAGACGGCUGGAGGUGGAGCAUACAAGUAUAUUGACCUUUUUAAAGUCAUCACACACAGUGAGUCGUGCAUUUAUUUUUCUGUUUAAAAUUUAAUUAUGAAAUGUUUGUCUCAUCUUGAAAAUAAACGUUAUCUAUAUCAAGGUUUUCUGACAUGGUAGAAAAUGCGUGUUUACUCAUCGAAGAAGAUGAAUCAAUGCGCAGGAUUGGUGAUGGAGGAUCAAAGGCCUCAUAAACGAAUGAGAUGUCUACUAAAUCUGGAGUAUCUAGAAUAAUUUCGGGGAUCAUAAUUACAUGUGCACUUUUGUUUCUAACGCCACUAUUUGAGAGCAUACCUCAAAUUUGCUUCAAGUUUUUAUAGGUCAUUUAUGUCAUGUUUGAAAAUGUUUUUUCCCGAUGUUAUCGGAGUCACACUAAAUUCUUUUAAAUUGAAGUUGUGUUUGCACCUAUUACAUUAUACAACUAACAUUUGCUAGGCUUUAAUCCAUUUAAGUAGAUUGAAAUGUGACGCAAAUGUUCAAAUUGGUCAUUGAAAGAUAGCUACUAAGUUAAUCCAUUUUAGAGAUUAAUUCAUUCCUUCAGUGUUUAAUGUAAUCAUUGAUUUAAGGAUCAAAUUGUUAAAGAAAGGGCAGCCUGAUAACUAGUUGGUUUGUAUGGAUGGAGCUCUUGUCAUAAUGGGCUAUAGGGAAAUGCUAGAGUUAUUUUGGAUCUUUUGUAGACAGCCUUACCUUGUGUUAUAAUGGAUGUUAUAAUGUGCUAUUGACCAUUGCAACAUUUUUGGUAGUUUCAUGAUUUAUAGAAUCAAUAUCCUAUAAUCAA